AGAAAUACUACCGUUAACAAACAUCUUUUCAUUCCAUUCAAAUUCUUUUCAUAAUAUUACUUUUUAAUUUAACCAAGCAUUCAUAUUAUUUUCAGUAGUCCGAUUACACCUAAAAUUAUUUUUCUUUUCUCUUCAAUUUUUUAAAAAUUCAUUCGUCUUCAUUUCCAUCCAUCUAUCAUAUUCUUUUUCCUGUUGCUAAACUAUUUUAAAUUAAACUCGACGUAUUUCAUCUGUUCUGCAUAAUUGAUUCAUCACUGGUUUCUUUGCUAUUUUUCUUUUUCAGUGGGAUUAGAGAACCGCUCUAGCGCAUUGAUUAACUUUUUAAUAAAUUGUUUUUGCAAAAAAUUUCAAUUAAACAAUGAUUCAACCCACUUGCUAUCAUCAUUGACUAGCUCCUUCCUCUCAUAUACUUGCUUCCUUUUCAUAUACAUUCUUCAUCUUAAACAAUUACCAGGUUUCCUUUUGGCAUAAACCUACCCUACCCUACCCUUCUCCAUUUUUUUAAACGCGUUUUUUUUUUGCAACCUUACCAUUCAUCCUUACUAACGAUACAUUUUCUUUUCAUCCACCUUCAUUCUCCUAUAGAAUCACUAUUGUCAGCUACGCAGUUUGGUAUCUGCUGUAACGAUAUUUACGUUAAACUGCGGUGAGUUUCUUUGUGACUUUAAUAUAUAUUAUAACAUACAGGUAUUCUAAGUAGCAAUUGAGUAAAUAUAUUGUAUUAUGUAG